rnacentral:rRNA from 1 species
GACUUACCUAGAAUCGGGGCCCACUGGAACGACUGGCUAAUACCGAGAUGUGCCUGUGAAAGGUGAAAGAUUUAUUGCCUAGAGAUGAGCUCGCGUCUGAUUAGCUAGUUGGUGUGGUAACAGCGCACCAAGGCGACGAUCAGUACCUGGUCUGAGAGGAUGAUCAGGCACACUGGGACUGAGACACGGCCCAGACUCCUACGGGAGGCAGCAGUGGGGAAUUUUCCGCAAUGGGCGAAAGCCUGACGGAGCAAUACCGCGUGAGGGAGGAAGGCUCUUGGGUUGUAAACCUCUUUUCUCAGGGAAUAAUAAAGUGAAGGUACUUGAGGAAUAAGCAUCGGCUAACUCCGUGCCAGCAGCCGCGGUAAUACGGAGGAUGCAAGCGUUAUCCGGAAUGAUUGGGCGUAAAGCGGUCCGCAGGGUGGCAUAUGUGUGUCUGCUGUCUAAAGAGUGCGGGCUCAACCUCAUAAAGGCAGUGGAAACUGCUAAGCUAGAGUGCGAUCGGGGUAACAGGAAUUCCCUGGUGUAGCGGUGAAAUGCGUAGAGAUCAGGAAGAACACUCGGUGGCGAAAGCGUGCUACUAGGUCCGUCAACUGACACUGAGGGACGAAAGCUAGGGGAGCGAAUGGGGAUUAGAUACCCUAUGUAGUCA